UAGGGAAUAUUGGGCAAUGGAGGCAACUCUGACCCAGCCAUGCCGCGUGCAGGAAGAAGGCCUUCUGGGUUGUAAACUGCUUUUGGAAGGGAACAAAACGGGCAUGCGUGCCAACUUGAGUGUACCUUCAGAAUAAGCACCGGCUAACUCCGUGCCAGCAGCCGCGGUAAUACGGAGGGUGCAAGCGUUGUCCGGAUUUAUUGGGUUUAAAGGGUGCGUAGGCGGCCAUGUAAGUCAGGGGUGAAAGACGAUUGCUUAACAAUCGCAGUGCCUUUGAUACUGUGUGGCUUGAGUGUAGCUGAGGCAGAUGGAAUGGGUGGUGUAGCGGUGAAAUGCAUAGAUACCAUCCAGAACACCGAUUGCGAAGGCAGUCUGCUAAACUACAACUGACGCUGAGGCACGAAAGCGUGGGGAUCGAACAGG
rnacentral:rRNA from 1 species